rnacentral:rRNA from 1 species
CCGAGAAUCUUCCGCAAUGGGCGAAAGCCUGACGGAGCGACGCCGCGUGGGGGAUGAAGGCCUUCGGGUUGUAAACCCCUGUCAGGUGAAGGGAAAGCCGUAAGGCUUGACCCGACGCCAGAGGAAGCACGGGCUAAGUUCGUGCCAGCAGCCGCGGUAAGACGAACCGUGCGAACGUUGCUCGGAAUCACUGGGCUUAAAGGGUGCGUAGGCGGUCGGCCAAG